GAUGAACGCUGGCGGCGUGCCUAAUACAUGCAAGUCGAGCGAACAGACGAGGAGCUUGCUCCUCUGACGUUAGCGGCGGACGGGUGAGUAACACGUGGAUAACCUACCUAUAAGACUGGGAUAACUUCGGGAAACCGGAGCUAAUACCGGAUAAUAUAUUGAACCGCAUGGUUCAAUAGUGAAAGACGGUUUUGCUGUCACUUAUAGAUGGAUCCGCGCCGCAUUAGCUAGUUGGUAAGGUAACGGCUUACCAAGGCAACGAUGCGUAGCCGACCUGAGAGGGUGAUCGGCCACACUGGAACUGAGACACGGUCCAGACUCCUACGGGAGGCAGCAGUAGGGAAUCUUCCGCAAUGGGCGAAAGCUUGACGGAGCAACGCCGCGUGAGUGAUGAAGGUCUUCGGAUCGUAAAACUCUGUUAUGAGGGAAGAACAAAUGUGUAAGUAACUAUGCACGUCUUGACGGUACCUAAUCAGAAAGCCACGGCUAACUACGCG
rnacentral:rRNA from 1 species